rnacentral:rRNA from 1 species
UACGAAGGUCCCAAGCGUUAUCCGGAUUUAUUGGGUUUAAAGGGUGCGUAGGCGGGCUAUUAAGUCAGUGGUGAAAGCUCUCGGCCUAACCGAGAAAUUGCCAUUGAUACUGAUGGUCUUGAGCACAUUUGAGGCGGGCGGAAUGUGUCAUGUAGCGGUGAAAUGCUUAGAUAUGACACAGAACACCGAUUGCGUAGGCAGCUCGCUAAACUGUAACUGACGCUGAGGCACGAAAGCGUGGGGAGCAAACAGG